UACGUAGGGGGCAAGCGUUGUCCGGAAUUAUUGGGCGUAAAGCGCGCGCAGGCGGUUAUGUAAGUCUGAUGUUAAAGCCCGGGGCUCAACCUCGGUUCGCAUUGGAAACUGUGUAACUUGAGUGCAGAAGAGGAAAGUGGUAUUCCACGUGUAGCGGUGAAAUGCGUAGAUAUGUGGAGGAACACCAGUGGCGAGGGCGACUUUCUGGUCUGUAACUGACGCUGGGGCGCGACAGCGUGGGGAGCAAACACG
rnacentral:rRNA from 1 species